GGGGUCGGAGGACAUCACAAGACCAAGAGGCUGCAUUGUUGAUGUAACUUCCUUGCCCACCUGUGUGUUUCCCCGCCCAGGGCCCCAGUUGUUCCCUGAGGUCGGGUCCCUGGGUGAGGCAGGACCAGGUGAUGCAGGAGGGUUUGCCUGGAAACGCAGCCCCAGACGAGCAUGCCUGGCAAGCAGGGUGGUGGAAGAGGCCGGAGGGCCCAGGAGUCUCAGGGCGCAGGUGCCCGAGUGGAGACGCCUCUGAAGCUUUCCCCAUGGCUGGUUCCUGGUUUCCUGCACCCCCGAGCAUGGGGCCCCUAGUGAGGGUGAGGCUCUGCUUUUCCUGGGAAGCUGAGCCGGGAGGCAGAAAAGGGCGGGAACUGUGGGAGACAAAUGGGCCCCACAUCUGCCCCUCUCUGAGGGCGCCCUCCUUGGCCACUGGCUGGGAAGAGGCUGGAAAACUCCUGGAUUUCCACCCACAUUCACGUGGUUUGAUGUCAGCAUCCAUUUCCUUACAUCACAUUUCACUAAGUUUUCAGUUCUUCCACAUUGUCCAGAUCACUCCGAAAUGAUUUUGAUCUCUCUCGUGCUAUCCUUUUUGUUUCUUCUCACUGAAGAUUUUAAGGAAGGUUGGCUUGCACUUCCUCAUCAAGCUGUUGCACCUGAACACAUGGAAAUAGUGUUCCCACCCCAGGCCUCCUGACAGUGCCCUCCCUGUUCACCCAGCACACCUUGCUGAGCAGUCAGUGUACUUCCUCCUCCUUGAAUUUGUGUGUUGCUCUGCUGGUGUCCAGUGUUUACAUCACACUGGAGGAUUCACAGACCUCAAGCUGAAAUCUGAGAGCGUCCUUUUCCAAGCUAGCUCCAUCUCCUUCUCCUGCAAUUUGCUUCAGCCAUUGUAUAUUUUAUCGCUGUGAGACACAGACUUCCAUCUGUAUCUACUCAUAGCCUGAGAAAUGUUGUAGUCAUUUCAAUUUUCCAUAUCAAUCAGUCUGACAGUGUUUACUUCCUAAGUAAAUUAUGUUUCAAAGCUACAGAAUAAAGCAUGAGACAAUAUGUAUUUGACUGUGAACCUAAGUAAUCUUUGGAAAUUCCUUUCUUCUUCAUUCUUUUUAGAACUUUUACUAGUAUUGCUAGUGAGAGUUUCAUAUUUAUUUCAGGAACUUGUGUCUAUUUUGAGAUCUGUUAUUAGCUUCUUUCGCCUCUUCCAGCUUUAUUGAAAUAUAACUGACUAAUAAAAUUAUAUAGAUUUAUAGGGAACAUUAUAUUUCAGGCACAUUAUCAUACAAUUACCACAAUCACAUCAUUGUGAUACAUAUCACUCACAAUGUUGCUUUCUGUUUUUGAUCAGAAUACUUACGAUUUACUAUCAGCAAAUCUUAUGUAUUUCAUAUCGUACACAGUGUAGUAUAGGAGCCGUAGUCACUGUCUUGUUCACUAUUACCCCAACGUUUGUCCCGAUGCAUGGCUGAAAACUUAACCUUGACCAGAGGUCUCCUCACUGCCCUCCGUCCCACCUGGGCACAAUCACCAUUUUGCCCUCUGUGAUUUCACCUUUUCAGGAGGUCAUGUUUAACACUUUUAGCCUUUCCAACACUGGCUGUCAAGAGCAUGCACUAUUGCAAAUGCGAUUAUUUCCUUUCUUGAAGGUUAAAUAAUAUUCACUCAUCUAUGUGUGAUAUUUUCUUAUCCUUUCAUCUACCAGUGAACCCUGGUUCCUAUGGUGGCUCUAUUCUGAAUUUUGAAGAAUCUUCACCACUGUCUUUGAUAAUGGUGAUAACAAUUUGCGUUUCCACCAACUGAGAACAAGGGUUUCCCUUUGUCCAAUUCCUGUCAACAACGCAUGUUAUCUUCCACCAUUUGUGAAAGAUACUAAUGGCCCUUCUAACAGUUGUGAGAGGUUCUCUCUCUGUCAUUUUGGCUUGAGUUUCCCUAAUUAUUUGAGUGAGGAGAAUUUUUUCAAGUAUUUCUUGAACAUUUUUUGUAUGCCUUAUUUUUGAGAAAUGUUUUUUAAGGUGCUUUACUGAUAUGUCCUUCCUAUGACACAAGUCAUCUUUCCACACAGUUUACUUUUUUCCUUUGCUUUUCAGUAGAGUUUUGAUGCUGUCAGGUUUUUCUAUUUCUGAUUUUGUUGCUCAUGAUGUUGUAAUCAAAUUUAAAAAAUAAUUGUCACUGAAUCUACAUUUUAUAAUAAAUGAACAUUUUACUAUAUUAAUUUUUAAU
rnacentral:lncRNA from 1 species